rnacentral:rRNA from 1 species
UGGGGAAUUUUGCACAAUGGGGGAAACCCUGAUGCAGCGACGCCGCGUGAUUUAGAAGGCCUUCGGGUUGUAAAAAUCUUUUGUAUAGGAAGAAAAUGACAGUACUAUACGAAUAAGGACCGGCUAAUUACGUGCCAGCAGCCGCGGUAAUACGUAAGGUCCGAGCGUUGUCCGGAAUCAUUGGGCGUAAAGGGUACGUAGGCGGGUAAGCAAGUUAGAAGUGAAAUCCUAUAGCUCAACUAUAGUAAGCUUUUAAAACUGCUCAUCUUGAGGUAUGGAAGGGAAAGUGGAAUUCCUAGUGUAGCGGUGAAAUGCGCAGAUAUUAGGAGGAAUACCGGUGGCGAAGGCGACUUUCUGGCCAUAACCUGACGCUGAGGUACGAAAGCGGGGGUAGCAAACAGG